CCAUUGAACUAAAAUAUAUGGAACGCUACCUUAACUGAACAUGCCCAGACUUGCCUGAAGCCAAAUUUUACCUCCAGACACGCGUGUCUGGAGGUAAAAUUCACGCGCGUUGUCGCGUUUCCUGCGUGGCGCCGAAGAACAGCGACAGCCAACCAACAUGUAGUUAUAGCAACAUGUGAUUGAAAAGGAAUGCGCUGCUCUUGUUUAAUAUGGAGGUGAUCGGUUAAAUUUUGAUUCAAUACAGUACGAAUCAUAACUUUUCAUACAUGUAUUCGAUCGGUAAAUCGGGGAAAUUAAUUGUCAAAUUGAAUGUGUACACAAACGACAUGGAUCAGAGAUUCAGAGUGACAUUGUAAAGUCGUAAACACGU
rnacentral:lncRNA from 1 species